rnacentral:rRNA from 1 species
UACGUAGGGGGCAAGCGUUGUCCGGAAUCAUUGGGCGUAAAGCGCGUGUAGGCGGCCCGGUAAGUCCGCUGUGAAAGUCGGGGGCUCAACCCUCGAAUGCCGGUGGAUACUGUCGGGCUAGAGUGCGGAAGAGGCGAGUGGAAUUCCUGGUGUAGCGGUGAAAUGCGCAGAUAUCAGGAAGAACACCUAUGGCGAAGGCAGCUCUCUGGGACGGUACUGACGCUGAGACGCGAAAGCGUGGGGAGCGAACAGG